GCAUUAAUGGGGUAGUGGUAACCUGGGUCGUUGCCAUUCUGGUGUUCACAUCUCGACCCGCCGGGGGUUCGAUUCCCCCUUAAUGCA